GCAUCCUAGGACAUCAAAUACACAUUCCCUUUAUUUUCUAGUCUUUGCCGCACAUCACCUUACCUUUUCUCCUUUUAAUUCUGAUUUCUUACCUUUUCUUGGAGGAUUUGGAGAUUUAAACUUAGCCAAUUUCAGUCCCAAACCGUGCCAUACCUUUUCCUAUACAUAUAUGUUAUUGCCGCAUCCCCCUUGGCACUUUCCUUUAAUUUUCUGAUUUGAUUUCCUAUUUCUAGAAGCUUUUGACUUGAUUUCUGUUUACCAAAAUAGUCUAGGGUUUUUAAUUUCCUAAUCCCUUUAAAUAAACAUCCUUGUGCAGCCACAAACAUCCCCCAUUCAUCUAGAAAAUACCCAUUCACGCCAGAAACUGAACCUCAUAUUCAACAUCCCCAUUCCUUCACCAUUCACCAUAUUUUCUGACCCAAAACUACCCUAGCCGCACCACCCAUCAACCCUAAACACUUCCAUACAUCCUCCAUCCAUUCUACAUCAUUCAAAUACCCAAGAACCUGCCCAUAAUCCCUGUGCCGCAGCAAAGGAGAGGAAGAAGAAGUACUUGAAGUUUCUAGCCGUUCAACAUCGAAUCGUUGGAAUACUUAGGUGUUCUCUUUCUUAUAUUUACAAUGUAUAAAUCUGUUUUCCUUUGUUUUGUGAACAUGAGGAACUAAGCCUUUUGGCUAGGGGGUUAUUCAAUACCAUGAUUAUGCUUGCAAGAUGAAUUGAUUACGUCUAAUUGUUAUUUCAUGAAUUGUGAAUGCAAUUUGCUUAACCGUUUGAUUGAUGACUUAUUUUUGUGUGUUAAUUAAGAUGGCCAACUUAGUUUUCAUGCAGGAAUUUGAAGCUAAAACAUAAGGAAGUUUCACCUAAUAGUUACAACUUUAUGUUUGAAAGUAGUGGAGGUCGCUUAUAAACGAUCGCGUUAAGUGAAUUCUUGGCAAACGUUUCAUGCUUUUCAUAGUAACAAUUGCCUCGUCAAUGCUUAUAGUUUUCAUGAAGCUUAAUGAUCUUUGAUUGUAUCUUUAUUGUGCUUUUCACGUAAGGAACUUUCAAAGAAUGUUUUGAGUUGUUGCAUGUGCAUUCCCAUCCAAUUCACUAACUUUAGGAAAACUUGAAGGUUAAAAAAGUGCUAUCACAGUUAACCUAGGGCGUUGAGAUUCAUAAUUCAUUGAAAGAAACAAUUGGAAAUCAAAGUUGAAUGCAAGUGUAUCAUGUGUGGAGAAGAACCCUCUAGUUGAUCUAUCACCCAUCAAUUUACUUAACUUUGUCUUAAAAUCUGUUUACUUUGUUCUUGCUUUGUUUUACUUAAUUUCGUCCAAAAUCAAACCCACCUUAUUUCUUUGAGUCAUAUUACUUAGAACUUGUCGUAGAAUAUGUUUUUAGGUGUUUUAGGUCAUUAGGAAACCAAAAUUCGUCCAAGUUGUGUUAGAGUCCUAAAACUGCCCAGAAAGUGGGUUUUAGGCAGUUUUGAGUGUUUGGUUGCUGUUUUGAUUCUUUUGGUUCGUUUUAGUGUUUUAGAGUUUAGUUUUGCAUUCUUUGAGUCUAGUUUCGUAUUUUAAACUUUGUUUACAGAUUUGAGUCAGUUUAGAGUGUUUUAGCAAUCCCUCAUAAUCCCCGGUUUAAGAACGAUCCUUACUUAUCCAUACUACAAUUGUCAACAAGAGGGUUAAUUUGUGUGUUUAUUUAUUUUACGCAUCAAAUUUUGGCGCCGUUGCCGGGGAUUAGCAACUUUGCUAAUCCCUCGUUCUUUUUGUUUAUUAUUUAUUUUCGUUUGUUUUCUAUCAUAGUUGCUGAUUUAUGUUGUUUCUUUGUUUUUAGGUACUAGUGCAUGACUCGAAGCUCCAAACCUGUUCGUGAGCAUAUUUUGGACUUCAACGACGAUUUCGAGCGAACUUUGAGAAGAAGGAGGAACCAACAAGAGUCUAACCCACCUAGCCCGGAACCUGACCUUGAAGAACAAGUUCUAGAAGAAGAAGAGGAUCCCACGGCACAAGUGGGUGGAGAAGAGCAAGGCAUGGCCAUGGACAACCGUACACUCAAGGAGCUUUCCGCUUCGGGUUUGGAUAAUGCCGCACCAUUGUGUAUCCAAUAUCCCAUGGCUGCCCAAGGUAAAACCGAAGAGUUCGAGCUUAAGUCAAGUUUGCUCCACCACAUUCCAAAGUUCCAUGGGCUGUCCAUGGAGGAUCCGACCAAACAUUUGAAAGAAUUUGAAGUGGUGUGCUCAAGUAUGACUCCGGUUAACGUUGACGGAAGUAUUUUAAAGAUGAAGGCUUUUCCAUUCUCUUUAAUGGACAAGGCCAAGGAUUGGUUAUACGAGUUGGCUCCCGGAACAGUUACGUCUUGGGAGAGUAUGAAGAGGGCGUUUCUGGAGAAGUUUUUCCCAACUUCUCGCAUCAUUCUUCUUCGUAAAAAAAUAAGUGGAAUUCAACAAGAUGAAGGUGAGUCUUUUCCUACAUAUUAUGAACGAUUUAAAUCACUUGUUGCUUCUUGUCCACAUCAUCAGAUGAAGGAGGAGUUGCUUUUGCAAUACUUCUACGAAGGGCUCCUACCACUAGAACGUCAAAUGCUCGAUGCCUCGGCGGGUGGAGCAUUGGUGGACAAAACGCCCAUGGCUGCAAAAAUCUUGAUUGCUAAUCGAGCGUUGAACGCUCAACAAUACGAGGGUGUAGGCCAAAGAGGACCCCCACGACAACAAGUUCAUGAGGUAAGUUCCACAUCUAAUAUUCAAACUCAGUUGGCUAAUCUUACUUCUAUUGUUUCACAGAUGGCCGAGGGAAUGAAGAUGCAAGGACCCAUGGUGUGUGGCGUAUGUUCUAUCCAAGGACAUGCUUCUGAAAAGUGUCCUCAACUCAUCGAGAAUGGUGGAUGGGAGAGCGCUAAUGCCAUUGGGUUUCAAAGCCAAAAUCAGCCAAGACAUGAUCCAUACUCCAACACGUAUAAUCCGGGGUAGAGAGACCAUCCAAACUUCAAAUGGAGAGAGCCACAACAAGCCCAACCACAAAGAGGCUUUAGGCAACAACCCCCGGUUUCUACACCAAACCAUAUGCACCCCCUCAAGUCCAACCACAAUCUGCCCCAAAUACUUCAGGUAAUGCUUUGGAUAAUGAUACACUUGUUAAGUUACUAACCACUUUGACUCAGGGGCAAGAAAAUCAAAACAAAAGAGUGGACCAACUAGAGAUACAAAUGGGACAGAUUGCCGAAGUUGUUGGGCAGAUUAGAGACCAAGGAAGGCUUCCUAGUUCUACCAUUCCGAAUCCAAAUGGAGGGUUUGAAUCAGCCAAAGCAAUCACCUUAAAAAGUGGUAAGGAGGUUGGAGCAGGUUCUUCAUCAAAAACAGGUCACAAAGAGGAUGAAAUGAUGCAAAUGGAAGAGGAGGAAUCAAAUCAACCCACGACAAAGGUGGAAGUACCUUUACCGCAAGUGUCCAUGGCCCCUAAACCUUCAAAUCUGUCCAAUAAGGGUAAGAAUGUGUUAAAUUCAAUUCCUACUAAUGUUUUUCCUUUGAAUGUCCCAUUUCCUAGCAGAUUUUUGCAAUCCAAGAACGAAGAGGAAGAAAAAGAUGUUCUAGAGACGUUUAGAAAGGUGCAUGUCAACAUUCCCCUCCUUGAUGCCAUAAAGCAAAUCCUGAAGUAUGCCAAGUGUUUAAAGAAGCUUUGUACAACAAAGAAACGUGCCUGGGAGAAAGAAGUGGUACAUGUAAGCGAGAAUGUCUCCGCAAUGUUGCAAAGAAAGCUGUCACCAAAAUGUAAAGAUCCGGGUAGUUUCACAAUUCCAUGUGUCAUUGGUAAUACCCGUUUCAAAUUUGCCAUGCUUGAUUUAGGUGCUUCUAUAAAUGUUAUGCCAUAUUCCAUUUAUGCAUCUAUGAACUUAGGAGCAUUGAAAAAUGAUGGUGUAAUCAUACAAUUGGCCGAUAGAUCUAACGCUUAUCCAAAGGGAGUUUUGGAAGACGUUUUAGUGCAGGUUGAUCAUUUAAUCUUCCCGGCGGAUUUCUAUGUCCUCGAAAUGGAUGAAUCGGACCAUGCCCCUUCAUUGCCCAUCCUCCUUGGAAGGCCAUUCAUGAAAAUGGCUCAAACAAAGAUUGAUGUGGCCAAAGGAUUAGUCACUAUGGCAUUUGGUGGUGACAUGAUUAGUUUUAAAAUUUCUGAAUCCAUUGAGACUCCUAAUGUUGUUCAUUCUUGUUGUGCCAUUGAUAAAAUUGAAAAGAUAGGACCGGACCGUUCAGCACCAAGCACAAAGGAUGCAUCAACAACCAUGCAAGACGAGGGAAUUGGAGUGGAGUACAAGGACCAUGCGGCCACUGCCCUCACAAUGCUCAAAUUGGCCGAAAGCACCAUGGGGAAGAAUGUUCACAUUGCUGCCACUUCAUCACAUCACAUAGGUAAGCCACCUAAUCCAAAUCCAAUUCCCAUUAAAGUUGAUAGGUGGUUCCCUUCUAUGGUGCAGAUACCCAAGCAAAUCCUCGAUGGUGGGCGCAUGAACGUGAACCUUAGGCAACACAGCGCACCCAUCAACAAACAUCACUAUCCAUUUCCGUUCAAGGAUGCAAUGUAUGAGACCUUUGUUGAGCAUGUCGUGGAGGAGAUCCCACUGCAUGCCGUGGGUUCCAAUGAGAGAUGAAUGAGCUCUUCGUCCGGCUGCAAGACAUAAAAGAAAGCGCUACUUGGGAGGCAACCCAUGCAUACAACAAAGGAAGCCCUAGGAAUCACUCCAAUUCCAGAUUUGCGUUCCUAAAACCCUUCUCUUUGUUGUUGUUUAUAAUCUGCCAGUUUAUUUGUUUACGUUGCUGUUUGUUGGUUUCUUUGUGUUUUGUGUAACUUUAUGCUUGAAACAUUGAGGACAAUGUUUGAUUUAAGUAUGGAGGGGUAACUAAGUAUUUUUUAUGCAAAUUCGUGGGAUUGUACCACCCAUUACUUAGAGACUUGUUCCUUGCUGUUUUUAAGUGUUUUUAAGUAGUUUUGGUGUGUGUUAACAUAAAACUCCGAAAAUCACAUAAAAAUUUGAAAAAAAAGUGUUUUGAAAAACCUAAAAAGAGUGUUUUGAGUCGUUUUUGUGUGUUUGUGUCUAGGGUACCUUCCAACACAAUGAUGAGGAUUCGGUUUGUAAUUGCAUGGCUGUUAAAGAAAGUUAUUAACAUGAUGAAAGUUUGAAUUACUCUUUGCUUAUGCUUGGUUGUGGUCAUAGCUUAUGAAUUUACAUGCAAUCACAAAGGAUAAAAAUUAGUUUUUGUAACAUGCUUGAAGGAAGGAACUCAAACAAACGCUACAACCUUGUGAGACUUGAGCCUAAAUGUUUAUUUGGAGAGUUAAAAUCUGUGCAUUAUUGUUUUCUAAGUCGUUGCAUGAUCUCAUUAUUCUUUGCUUGGUUACUACUUAGAAGGCGUUUCAUCAUUUAGUUCCAAAUGCUAGAACUCAUGCCCAUUUCAUUCAAAGCAUGUUAUUGAUUUGCAUAACACAUAUUCAAGAUAAAGUUGUGUAGUGACCACCACCAUAAUCAAAAAGCCGUGAAUCCCCUAUGUCAUUAUGUUUUGUAGGUUUUAACCCCGUCGAGCCUUGUUAGCCUUCAUUCUUUGUUAACCCACAUUAACCUCACCUAGCCUAGAUUAGGACCAUCCUUACCCUUGUUCUUGAAGCAUAGUAAAGCAUGAUUCAAAUUGAAUUCCUUUUGAUUUAUAUAUGGCAGAAACCAAGUGUGGGGGAAAGGUUUCAAUUUGGGUAUUUUGGGUGCCAUAGAACACGGCAAGAAAAGAAAAAAAAAUUGAAAUUCGUGGAAAAAGAAAAAGAAAAAGAAAAAGUGUGUGAAAAGAAUGAAAAGGAGUUGAAAAGAUGUGAAAAAGAGUCCCAAAGUAUUGUUUGUUGAAGAAAGGGUCCAAAACUUUGAAUUCGGCCCUAAAUAUUGCUUGAAUCUUCCCCUUAUGUCUAAAAGUUGAUUUCUGCAAUCUAAGUGAAUUCUAAGUUUCAAUUUCAUUACUUUGCUUGCUAUUGCUUUAAGAACGUUUGUUAUCCCUAUCCUUCAUUUGUUAGCCAACACCCCAAGCCCCGUUACAACCUUUGACUUCAAUCUUGAGUGUUAUGUGUUUCAAUUUGUAGAGUUUGAAUUUGGAAUGAGCAUAUGGUGUCACUGGUUCUCGCGUCUAAGUAGUAGCAUUCAAUUCAUGAGAUCAUAUCUUGACAUGUUUAUUAACUCCAGAAAUUGCGUUCUUUGUGAUACAUAUAUGUGAGUGUUCGUUUUCAUCUCUACAUCAAUCUUCUCACAUAUGACUAGUAUAGGGUGUGUAGUUAGAAAAUCUGAGUGAAAAUUGAGUGCAUAUCUUGUAAGGAAUUGAGUGAUUUCUCUAAGGCAUGUUACUACAUCAAAAACAUUGUUUUAAUUGAUUAAUUGUGAACUAGUAAGUGGUAACUAUGAUUAAGUAUGUGCUUAAGUGUAAAGAUGACUAAAAUAUGUGGGGAAUAACGAUUUUUAACAUGUCAGGUGCAUUGGAAAUCCCUGAGGCAAAUGUUGGAAGGUUUAGGUUGUGUUUUAUUUGUUUUGUUUUGUUUUAUUUCUUUGUUUUGCUCGAGGACUAGCAAAAGCUAAGUGUGGGGGAAUUUGAUAGGAGCAUAUUUACGCGACUUAAUUGGCUUGUUCUCGUGCAUUUAUGUUAUGUUUCGUUAGCUAUUUUAGUGUUUAAAGUUACUUUUGUGUGUUUUCAGAUUCCAAAGCCGAAGUGUGCAAAAUGAUGUAAUUUGGAGCAUUUUGGAGCAAAAGGAAUGGAUGAAUUGAAGACUUGAAGAAAUUAGGAUUCCUAAUCAACGAAGGAUUCCUAAUUGAAGAAGGAUUCCUAAUCGACGAAGGAUUCCUACUCCAAGAAGGAUUCCUAAUGGAAGAUGGAUUCCUAAUCACAUGAGGAUUCCUAGAAGAACAAGGAUUCCUACUCCAAGAAGGAUUCCUACUUGAAAUAGGAAAGUUAAGCCAAGGUUUCCUACUUUGGUUUGACCUUUCCUAAAUGUUCCUAAGUUUUAUCAACUUUGAAGGCGUCCUAAGCAUCCUAGGACAUCAAAUACACAUUCCUUUUAUUUUCUAGUCUUUGCCGCACAUCACCUUACCUUUUCUCCUUUUAAUUCUGAUUUCUUACCUUUUCUUGGAGGAUUUGGAGAUUUAAACUUAGCCAAUUUCAGUCCCAAACCGUGCCAUACCCUUUCCUAUACAUAUAUGUUAUUGCCGCAUCCCCCUUGGCACUUUCCUUUAAUUUUCUGAUUUGAUUUCCUAUUUCUAGAAGCUUUUGACUUGAUUUCUGUUUACCAAAAUAGUCUAGGGUUUUUAAUUUCCUAAUCCCUUUAAAUAAACAUCCUUGUGCAGCCACAAACAUCCCCCAUUCAUCUAGAAAAUACCCAUUCACGCCAGAAACUGAACCUCAUAUUCAACAUCCCCAUUCCUUCACCAUUCACCAUAUUUUCUGACCCAAAACUACCCUAGCCGCACCACCCAUCAACCCUAAACACUUCCAUACAUCCUCCAUCCAUUCUACAUCAUUCAAAUACCCAAGAACCUGCCCAUAAUCCCUGUGCCGCAGCAAAGGAGAGGAAGAAGAAGUACUUGAAGUUUCUAGCCGUUCAACAUCGAAUCGUUGGAAUACUUAGGUGUUCUCUUUCUUAUAUUUACAAUGUAUAAAUCUGUUUUCCUUUAUUUCAUGAAUUGUGAAUGCAAUUUGCUUAACCGUUUGAUUGAUGACUUAUUUUUGUGUGUUAAUUAAGAUGGCCAAUUUAGUUUUCAUGCAGGAAUUUAAAGCUAAAACAUAAGGAAGUUUCACCUAAUAGUUACAACUUUAUGUUUGAAAGUAGUGGAGGUCGCUUAUAAACGAUCGCGUUAAGUGAA
rnacentral:lncRNA from 1 species